CGAGAAAACUUUGCAAUGUGCGAAAGCACGACAAGGUUAAUCCGAGUGUUUUCUGCUAAAGAAAUCUUUUGUCAGUCCUAAAAACACUGAUGAAUAAGGGGUGGGCAAGUUCUGGUGUCAGCCGCCGCGGUAAAAACCAGCACCUCAAGUGGUCAGGAGGAUUAUUGGGCCUAAAGCAUCCGUAGCCUGCUUUGUAAGUUUUCGGUUAAAUCCAUAUGCUCAACAUAUGGGCUGCCGGGAAUACUGCACAGCUAGGGAGUGGGAGAGGUAGACGGUACUGGGGUAGGAAGGGGUAAAAUCCUUUGAUCUAUUGAUGACCACCUGUGGCGAAGGCGGUCUACCAGAACACGUCCGACGGUGAGGGAUGAAGGCUGGGGGAGCAAACCGGAUUAGA
rnacentral:rRNA from 2 species